UGUGGCUGGAAGCGAGGAGGCUCUGCACGGCCGUCGCAGCUACCGCAGCCAGGAUCUGGGCAUCCAGGCACGGCCAUGACCCCUCCGAGGCUCUUCUGGGUGUGGCUGCUGGUUGCAGGGACCCAAGGUGAGCUGAGCCCCUGGGAAAUACCAAAAGCAGAAGCGUGGAAGCCUGCUGCGCCCUGGGGCUGCUCAGAGCGUCAAGGAGAUGUUCUGCCCGGGGCCCGGGGCCCAGCGGUUAGCCAGGUCUUCUCUCCUGCUUGAAGCACCAGGUAUCCCCAGUGAUGAUGACUUGGAGGUUCCCGGGGGCUCACCUGGGUUCAGGUGAGAUGCAGGUUAUAGAGAGGACACUAGGGAAUCCUCCAUUCCGUCCAGAGGGAACCAGAGGAGCUGAUCAAACCAGCAGUCACAGGGGCCGUUGUGAGGUCAAUGGCCUUGGACG
rnacentral:sRNA from 1 species